CCUACGGGAGUCAGCAGUGGGGAAUAUUGCACAAUGGGGGAAACCCUGAUGCAGCGACGCCGCGUGAGGGAAGAAGUCAUUCGUUGUUUAAAGCUCUAUCAGCAGGGAAGUGCAGAAGACGGUACCCCUUUAAUAAUCCACGGCUAACUACGUGCCAUCAGCCGCGGUAAUACGUAGGUGGCAAGCGUUUUCCGGAUUUACUGGGUGUAAAGGGCGUGCAGCCGGGGAGACAAGUCAGAUGUGAAAUCCACGGGCUCAACCCGUGAACUGCAUUUGAAACUGUUGCCCUUGAGUGUCGGAGAGGUAAGCGGAAUUCCUUGUGUAGCGGUGAAAUGCGUAGAUAUAAGGAAGAACACCAGUGGCGAAGGCAGAUUACUGGACGAUAACUGACGGUGAGGCGCGAAAGCGUGGGGAGCAAACAGGAUUAGAUACCCCAGUAGUC
rnacentral:rRNA from 1 species